AUAUUUUAAUUAAAUUUAAUUUAAAAUAUUUUUUAUUCAAUGAACGUUGUUAAACUGAUUUUUGGAAUCAGACGGAGUGCUAGGAGCUUGCUCCACCUCUGUCACGGGUUGGCCUGGUAUUGCAGUACCGCCGGGACUCGGCCCAACUAAU